CAGGCCCAGGGGGCUCCGGGCCCUGACCGCAUGGAGCGGGGCGCGCUGGCCGGACUGAGGCGGCGGCCUGCGGAGGAGGAGCGGGGCGGCCCCCGGGACGCGAAACGGGCAUGUAGGAGCAUGGAAGCUGGUCCUGGGGAGGAUGCUGCCCCGGGGCAAAAUGAACUGCCCCAGGGGUGCUGGAUUACGGACUGGGGCUCGGAAUCCAAGGGCUUCGUUGCACAGGAGAGCCUGCCUGGGAAUAUCCAAGGCAGACAGAGCUCAGUGAUUUCUGCCAACAACGGAAGGCGUCCCCACCAGCCUUGCUCACGAUGCCUCGCUGGCCAGUCUGGGCAUUUUAACCAUACCAUGAAUUGUUAGAAGAUACAAGUUGGCAAAGAAGGCCGCAUCCAAUCUUGGUCUUCAAUCCUCCACAUGAUGAUGAAUGUAAAUAUCUUACAGAUGGAUUUAAGGGCCCACCUGUUCAAAGAACAGCCUGGAUGUUAUUUCCUGGGAAACUGUUUGCUCUCUCAUUCAGAUAAUCCCCCAGUUCUCAGUUCUGGGGCGCAGAAGAUCAACGCCACUUCAAAAUAACCUCCGUAUUGUUAUUCCUCACUCUUAAAAUAUGUCUUUUUGUAGAAGAGUGUGGAGUCAUUAAGUCAUGAUCAAUUUCUUAUUUUUUUUUAAAAGAGAAGGUUGUCAGGAGGACAACAAUUGCUCCAUGAGGAGGAAUUUCUUAGAAAUGUGAUGGCUUACAGUCCAUGCCCUGGAGUAAGCCUGCUUAGCUCCUGUUAGAUUAUUUUGUCAAGAGCUCUGACUUGUGUAUAUUCAAGACCACUUGUGUCCAUUUUUAAUAGCAGAAAAUGUUAUUUUCAUAUUAUAAAUGUGAAAUUCCAUUCUGCAGCAUAAAACAGAAUUUUACCAAAUGGGAGGAAUCACUCCAUCUUUGUAAUUCUUUAUUUGACUGAAGGUAGAGGACCACGUUUACAGUCAAAUGGAAAUACCCCCUUGUGCCAGGGUUUUAAUUCUCCCAUUUCAAAUGCUCCCCUUUAGGGAUGGGUUGGAGGAGGGCUCUAUUGAGUUCACAAAGCUCUGUGAGGGGCCUCAGUCAGAUGACUGCUCAGGCUGCAACGAGAGUGUGAGGUGAUUAAAUCAGCCACAAAUUCCGGAAUGUUUCAGAAUCAAAAGUGGGACGGAAUACCUUGUACUCCCCAUGCUCCCUGGGUGGAAUUCACACGAGGCCAUGUUUUCUGUCUUUGUGCAAGGCCGUCUUGAUGAACCCAACCUGGAAGUCAUGAUGGAUGGCUUUUUCAUGUUGGGAAAAGGGAAGAAAUGGAAGGCAAACUGAUGGGAAGAGGGUCUGCCACUGUUUGUGGUCAGGAUUCUCUAACGUUGCAGAGGUAUCACAGUCAUCAAGAAAGACAUGUUUCUGCUGCCAGAGUCCUAAGGUCACUGGAUGGAUUUGGGUUUGGGAGAUUUAAAAAAAUGUUAUUAAUGCUUUCCAUGAUACAUGUAGGACCAAAAAAGCUGAGCAGACCCUGUGUGGAGAAGGACUAACUUCGGGACUGCCCAUAUGCUCCACUAGGAUCCUUCCCGUGUCAAAGGGAUCUGAGGAAAGCCCUCAGUGGAUCCCCUGUGGGAAGCCUAGGGGAGGAUGUGGAAAGAGGCACAGAAGAUGAGCAGAUGGGGAUGGGCUGAGGUCCGCACAAUAGGAGGCCAUGCCCUCCUCAGGGAGAAUUCAUUGGAGUGGAGGAAUGUGGUUCUCAAGGCCAUUUUGACAUGCCUCACAUCCCUGCCACCCAUGAAAGAGCCAAACGAACCAAAGACUUCGUUGUCAUUUCGUUGUAAUCUGUUUAUGGGCAGGUGGGAGACAGGCAGAGGAGAAAAACCCACCUCAGCCCUUUUCAUACCACGGGCAGUGAGUGCCAUGUGAUGUUGCCUCCAUCAACGUUGUUUCCUAAUAGCAUAGGUGAUACAUUGGAACCAAACUCCUGUCUUAAGAAACUGGUGUAAUAUUCCACUAAUUGUCCAUGUGUAACCAUGUAUCCCUUGGCUCUGUGGUGCUCAUUGCCGGCCCCCAUAAGCUCCUUUCAUCUAGAGUCACUUUUUACAGAACCAGUCACUGAUGGUAGGUGGGCUACACUUACUCUACGAGUUUAUUUCUGUUUCUGUGCCAAAAGUGAGGAAUUGCAAAAUGCUCAGGUGACACAAUGCCUUUAACACUAGCUAAUUCACCAACAUUUUAAACGAAUCAGCAUGAUCUGAUAUUACAAAGUUUAAAGGUGAAUAGUGACUCAAAGAUCGUCUUUUUACAAAUUUAGAGUCAUAGGAUCAUGAAGUUAAACCAGGACCUUAGGAACCAGGAAGCCCAUUCCAAAGGAGGAACAGUGACCUGCUCAAAGUCACACCAACUGCAGAUAUUUCAUAGCCUGUGACUUCACAGAUGAAGAAACAAUCCCAUACAAGACAUGUGCUUGGUCUUGUAGCUAGUUAGUAACAUAGACAAGAGUAGCAUUGAGGUACAAAGAGUACCUCUUUGAGGCAGCAUGAUGAGGGCUAUGGAUUGAGAAGACCUGGUUUCUAGUUGUGAUUCUGUCCCUUUUUAUUAGUAUGACCUUGGGCAAGUUCCUGUGAGUCUUGGUGUCUUCAUCUACAAAAGACAGAGUUGAAUUGAAUGACCCCCGAGUCUCUUCCCAGCUCCAAACUCAAUGCCCACCAAGCCUGGUUCUGUUUCCAUAGCUCUGCCUGCUCAGACAUCCUGAUCCUGACCUUGAAACUCCUCGUUAACAAGAAGGAUUCAAGACACACACACAUACACACACACACACACACACACACACACACACACACACAGAGUAUGUGAGACAAAGCCUGGGCCAGCGGAAGUAUUCUAUCUUGGAGCCAGUGAUGUUAUUGCCUUACGUCACAGAGUUUUGUGUCAUAGUUUUUCUAAGCAGCUAGUUAGGUCUUUACAUGUUGUAGUUUGUAUGUGUAUACAUAUGCACAUACAUACAUACACACAAAAUAAACAUACUGUCCUGAAUUAACUAGGCCA
rnacentral:lncRNA from 1 species